rnacentral:rRNA from 1 species
GACGAACGCUGGCGGCGUGCCUAAUACAUGCAAGUCGAGCGAAUCGAUGGGAGCUUGCUCCCUGAGAUUAGCGGCGGACGGGUGAGUAACACGUGGGUAACCUGCCUGUAAGACUGGGAUAACUUCGGGAAACCGGAGCUAAUACCGGAUACUUUCUUUUCUCGCAUGAGGGAAGAUGGAAAGAUGGUUCUGCUAUCACUUACAGAUGGACCCGCGGCGCAUUAGCUAGUUGGUGAGGUAACGGCUCACCAAGGCAACGAUGCGUAGCCGACCUGAGAGGGUGAUCGGCCACACUGGGACUGAGACACGGCCCAGACUCCUACGGGAGGCAGCAGUAGGGAAUCUUCCGCAAUGGACGAAAGUCUGACGGAGCAACGCCGCGUGAGCGAAGAAGGCCUUCGGGUCGUAAAGCUCUGUUGUUAGGGAAGAACAAGUACGAGAGUAACUGCUCGUACCUUGACGGUACCUAACCAGAAAGCCACGGCUAACUACGUGCCAGCCGCCGCGGUAAUAC